UGGCAAUACAUAUUAUCUUUU
rnacentral:piRNA from 1 species